AGUGGAGGAUUCCAAAGGGAUCGCAUUGAUCGAUCUCCCUCCGUCAUCGGCGUGCAAGAUCGAUGGAUCAGUGCGAUCCCUCUGGAAUUCUCCGC
rnacentral:pre_miRNA from 2 species